UACAGAGGUCUCAAGCGUUGUUCGGAUUCAUUGGGCGUAAAGGGUGCGUAGGCGGCGCGGUAAGUCGGGUGUGAAAUCUUGGAGCUUAACUCCGAAACUGCAUUCGAUACUGCCGUGCUUGAGGACUGGAAAGGAGACUGGAAUUUACGGUGUAGCGGCGAAAUGCGUAGAUAUCGUAAGGAAGACCAGUGGCGAAGGCGGGUCUCUGGACAGUUCCUGACGCUGAGGCACGAAGGUCAGGGGAGCAAACGGG
rnacentral:rRNA from 1 species